rnacentral:lncRNA from 1 species
AGCAGAGUUGACUGGGAAGACACACCUGCGUGACGUGAAACCCCCUGGAGCCAGCCACCUAUGGACCAGAGCAAGGGAUUCUUCAAGAUGAGUCAGAACAAGGCCUUCAUAUCAUAGAUCUUGCCAAGGUUUGAUGAGUAUGGUGACAGGCAAAUAGUGGCUGGUACUCACUUCCUUCCGUCUGCCAUUCUGGCUUUGAUGCCGAGGUACUUGGUCUGUGGCACCCAAGAGCUUCUGGCUGUGGUAAUGGAAAUGGCUCCGUUAUGAAGCAAGUGACUGACGGAUUUGUAGCGCAUCAAGUGCUGGCCACCUUCGUCUAGGUCGACUUCCUCGUCUCUGGAGAAAAAGAGAAUUACUAAGAAUACUAAAACAAUAAACAAAGAUGAUAUAGAAGUA